rnacentral:rRNA from 1 species
UACGUAGGGCGCAAGCGUUGUCCGGAAUUAUUGGGCGUAAAGAGCUCGUAGGCGGUUUGUCGCGUCUGCUGUGAAAACCUAAGGCUCAACCUUGGGCUUGCAGUGGGUACGGGCAGACUAGAGUGCGGUAGGGGUGACUGGAAUUCCCGGUGUAGUGGUGGAAUGCGUAGAUAUCGGGAGGAACACCAGUGGCGAAGGCGGUUGCCUGGGGCUUUGCUGACGCUGAUGCGCGGAAAGCGUGGGGGAGCGAUCCGG